AGAAUGAACGCUGGCGGUGUGGUUAAGACAUGCAAGUCGAACGGUGUUUCAGAUGUAGCAAUACAUUUGAAACGCAGUGGCGAACGGGUGCGUAACACGUGAACAAUUUACCUUUUAGUGUGGAAUAGCUCGACGAAAGUCGGAUUAAUACCGCAUGUGGUUGUCUCUCUCCUGAGAGGCAUACUAAAGCCAGGGACCGCAAGGCCUGGCGCUAUUAGAGGAGUUCGCGGCCUAUCAGCUAGUUGGCGAGGUAACGGCUCACCAAGGCUAAGACGGGUAGCUGAUCUGAGAGGAUGAUCAGCCACACUGGAACUGAGACACGGUCCAGACACCGUACGGGUGCAGCAGUUUCGAAUCAUUCACAGUGGCGAAA
rnacentral:rRNA from 1 species